rnacentral:rRNA from 1 species
AUUAUGGAGAGUUUGAUCCUGGCUCAGGAUGAACGCUGGCGGCGUGCCUAAUACAUGCAAGUCGAGCGAACAGACGAGGAGCUUGCUCCUCUGACGUUAGCGGCGGACGGGUGAGUAACACGUGGGUAACCUACCUAUAAGACUGGGAUAACUCCGGGAAACCGGGGCUAAUACCGGAUAAUACAUGAAACCGCAUGGUUUCAUGAUGAAAGACGGUUUUGCUGUCACUUAUAGAUGGACCCGCGGCGUAUUAGCUAGUUGGUAAGGUAACGGCUUACCAAGGCAACGAUACGUAGCCGACCUGAGAGGGUGAUCGGCCACACUGGAACUGAGACACGGUCCAGACUCCUACGGGAGGCAGCAGUAGGGAAUCUUCCGCAAUGGGCGAAAGCCUGACGGAGCAACGCCGCGUGAGUGAUGAAGGUCUUCGGAUCGUAAAACUCUGUUAUUAGGGAAGAACAAGGGUGUAAGUAACUAUGCACCCCUUGACGGUACCUAAUCAGAAAGCCACGGCUAACUACGUGCCAGCAGCCGCGGUAAUACGUAGGUGGCAAGCGUUAUCCGGAAUUAUUGGGCGUAAAGCGCGCGUAGGC